GGUUGGAAGGAUGGAUUUAUACAGCAUUUGGACCAGCUAUAAGGCCCUGCAGGACAGCAGUGGCAAAGCCAGCUCUGGAUUUAGAGAAGAAAGGUAAAUGGUAAUGUUUGGUGAAUGUAUGAACUGAGCUCCAGGUAGCAGCUUCUAGAAUGUCUCUG